CAAGUCGAACGCACAGCGAAAGGUGCUUGCACCUUUCAAGUGAGUGGCGAACGGGUGAGUAACACGUGGACAACCUGCCUCAAGGCUGGGGAUAACAUUCUGGAAACAGAUGCUAAUACCGAAUAAAACUUAGUGUCGCAUGACAAAAAGUUAAAAGGCGCUUCGGCGUCACCUAGAGAUGGAUCCGCGGUGCAUUAGUUAGUUGGUGGGGUAAAGGCCUACCAAGACAAUGAUGCAUAGCCGAGUUGAGAGACUGAUCGGCCACAUUGGGACUGAGACACGGCCCAAACUCCUACGGGAGGCUGCAGUAGGGAAUCUUCCACAAUGGGCGAAAGCCUGAUGGAGCAACGCCGCGUGUGUGAUGAAGGCUUUCGGGUCGUAAAGCACUGUUGUAUGGGAAGAACAGCUAGAAUAGGAAAUGAUUUUAGUUUGACGGUACCAUACCAGAAAGGGACGGCUAAAUACGUGCCAGCAGCCGCGGUAAUACGUAUGUCCCGAGCGUUAUCCGGAUUUAUUGGGCGUAAAGCGAGCGCAGACGGUUUAUUAAGUCUGAUGUGAAAGCCCGGAGCUCAACUCCGGAAUGGCAUUGGAAACUGGUUAACUUGAGUGCAGUAGAGGUAAGUGGAACUCCAUGGUGUAGCGGUGGAAUGCGUAGAUUUUAUGGAAGAACACCAGUGGCGAAGGCGGCUUACUGGACUGCAACUGACGUUGAGGCUCGAAAGUGUGGGUAGCAAACAGGAUUAGAUACCCCUGGUAGUCCACACCGUAAACGAUGAACACUAGGUGUGUUAGGAAGGUUUCCGCCUCUUAGUGCCGAAGCUAACGCCAUUAAGUGUUCCGCCCUGGGGGAGUACGACCCGCAAGGUUGAAACUCAAAGGGAAUUGACGGGGACCCGCACAAGCGGUGGAACCAUGGUGGUUUAAUUCGAAGCAACGCGAAGAACCUUACCAGGUCUUGACAUCCCUUUGAAGCUUUAUAGAAGAUAGAAGUGUUCUCUUCGGAGACAAAAUGACAAGUGGUGGCCAGGGUCGUCCUCACCUCCUGUCCGGGGAAAAGUUUGGGGUUAAAUUCCCCGCAACCGAGCGCCACCCCCUUCUUUGUUAGUUUGCCGCCCAUUCCAAAUGAGGGCCUCCUAUCCGAGAAAUGGCCGGUGGACAAAACCCGAAAGAAAAGGGGGGGGGGAGAAAAAUCCAAAUAAAUCCCGCCCCCCUUUUACCCCGGGGCCCCCCCCUCU
rnacentral:rRNA from 1 species